rnacentral:rRNA from 1 species
ACCCGCUGAACUUAAGCAUAUCAAUAAGCGGAGGAAAAGAAACCAACAGGGAUUGCCUCAGUAACGGCGAGUGAAGCGGCAACAGCUCAAAUUUGAAAUCUGGCCUCACGGUCCGAGUUGUAAUUUGUAGAGGAUGUUUUGGGUACCGCCGUGGUUUAAAUUUCUUGGAGCAGAAUGUCAAAGAGGGUGAGAGUCCCGUCUUGGACCGCGGUAGGGCCUGUGUAAAACUCCUUCGACGAGUCGACUUGUUUGGGAAUGCAGGUCAAAAUGGGUGGUAAAUUUCAUCUAAAGCUAAAUAUUGGCCAGAGACCGAUAGCGCACAAGUAGAGUGAUCGAAAGAUGAAAAGCACUUUGAAAAGAGAGUUAAACAGUAUGUGAAAUUGUUGAAAGGGAAGCGCUGGCAACCAGACUCGUGCGCGGGGUUCCCCCUUGCUUCUGCUUGGGUUACUUCCCCGUGUCCGGGCCAUCAUCAGUUUCGGGGGCCGGUUAAAGGCCUUGGGAAUGUAUCUACUCCUUCGGGGGUAGACUUAUAGCCCAGGGUGUCAUGCGGCCAUUCGGGACUGAGGAACGCGCUUCGGCGAGGAUGAUGGCGUAAUGGUUGU